UAUUUUUUGACAUGUGAUACCCAAGUGUAUGUUAGUGUAAAUGAACUCAGUAGAUUGAAUAAUGCGUUCACCCACCGUUACCUGUUACAUCUUUUUUUUUUUCUUUUGUAGGUUGGGGUAAUUGUCUUUAUUUGUUAUUGGUUAAAGAAUUAGAAGAAUGCCAGAAGCUUUUCUGAGGGUUAAUGUUCGUGAAGAAAUUGAAGAGUUUUUUCCAAGAAUGUGGAAGAUAAAUCAAGAUAAAAGAAGGCUAAUGAAAAGUAUUAAAGAUCAGAAAAUUAAAAUUGAAUGGGGGAAAAAAUUGAACAGAAGAUUGGUCAGAUAGAAGCACUUGAAUAUUUUUUUUAAGGCUAUUUUGAAUUGUUUGAAUUGGGGAAGAAUACACGAAGUAUGAAAAAUGAAAAACUCAAUGAAGAAUGAAGAGAAGUAGAAAGCAAGAGUGAAGUAGAAUUAAAAGAAUCUGGAAGAAUGAAUGGGUCCUAGGUUAAGUAAAUGUAUGGUUUAUGUUCCAGUGUC